AACGAACGCUGGCGGCAUGCCUAACACAUGCAAGUCGAACGAACCCUUCGGGGUUAGUGGCGCACGGGUGCGUAACGCGUGGGAAUCUGCCCUUGGCUUCGGAAUAACAGUUAGAAAUGACUGCUAAUACCGGAUGAUGUCUUCGGACCAAAGAUUUAUCGGCCAGGGAUGAGCCCGCGUAGGAUUAGGUAGUUGGUGGGGUAAAGGCCUGCCAAGCCGACGAUCCUUAGCUGGUCUGAGAGGAUGAUCAGCCACACUGGGACUGAGACACGGCCCAGACUCCUACGGGAAGCAGCAGUGGGGAAUAUUGGACAAUGGGCGCAAGCCUGAUCCAGCAAUGCCGCGUGAGUGAUGAAGGCCUUAGGGUCGUAAAGCUCUUUUACCCGGGAUGAUAAUGACAGUACCGGGAGAAUAAGCCCCGGCUAACUCCGUGCCAGCAGCCGCAGUAACAC
rnacentral:rRNA from 1 species